rnacentral:tRNA from 1 species
AGGCCCGUAGCUCAGUUGGUAGAGCACCACCUUGACACGGUGGGGGUCACUGGUUCGAGUCCAGCCGGGCCUA